rnacentral:rRNA from 1 species
GACGUAGGGUGCAAGCGUUAUCCGGAUUUAUUGGGCGUAAAGAACACGUAGGCGGUUUUGUAAGUCAUUUCUUAAAUGCCACUGCUCAACAGUGGACCUGGACGUGAUACUGCAAGACUUAGAGGUCAGCAGGGGCAAGUGGAAUAUGUGGUGUAGGAGUGAAAUCCGUUGAUAUCACAUAGAACACCAGUGGCGAAGGCGACUUGCUAGGCUGAAUCUGACGCUGAGGUGUGAAAGCGUGGGGAGCGAACGGG